CCUACGGGAGGCAGCAGUAGGGAAUAUUGGACAAUGGGGGAAACCCUGAUCCAGCCAUGCCGCGUGCAGGAUGACAGCCCUACGGGUUGUAAACUGCUUUUAUACAGGAAGAAACACUCCGACGUGUCGGAGCUUGACGGUACUGUAAGAAUAAGGAUCGGCUAAUUCCGUGCCAGCAGCCGCGGUAAU
rnacentral:rRNA from 1 species